rnacentral:rRNA from 1 species
GACGGAGGGGGCAAGCGUUGUUCGGAAUUACUGGGCGAAAAGGGCGCGCAGGCGGUCAUGCAAGUCGGGGGUGAAAGCCCACGGCUUAACCGUGGAAUUGCCUUAGAAACUGCAUGACUUGAGUACGGAAGAGGAGAGCGGAAUUCCCAGUGUAGCGGUGAAAUGCGUAGAUAUUGGGAGGAACACCAGUGGCGAAGGCGGCUCUCCGGUCCGAUACUGACACUGAGGCGCGAAAGCCAGGGGAGCAAACGGG